rnacentral:ncRNA from 1 species
AAAAUGGAGAGUUUGAUCCUGGCUCAGGAUGAACGCUGGCGGUAUGCUUAACACAUGCAAGUCGAACGGUCUUUUCGGAGAUAGUGGCGGACGGGUGAGUAACGCGUAAGAAUCUACCUUCAGGUUGGGGACAACCAGUGGAAACGGUGGCUAAUACCCAAUGUGCCGAGAGGUGAAAGGCUUGCUGCCUGAAGAAGAGCUUGCGUCUGAUUAGCUAGUUGGUGGGGUAAAAGCCUACCAAGGCGACGAUCAGUAGCUGGUCUGAGAGGAUGAUCAGCCACACUGGGACUGAGACACGGCCCAGACUCCUACGGGAGGCAGCAGUGGGGAAUUUUCCGCAAUGGGCGAAAGCCUGACGGAGCAAUACCGCGUGAGGGAGGAAGGCUCUUGGGUUGUAAACCUCUUUUCUCAGGGAAGAACAAAAUGACGGUACCUGAGGAAUAAGCAUCGGCUAACUCCGUGCCAGCAGCCGCGGUAAUACGGAGGAUGCAAGCGUUAUCCGGAAUGAUUGGGCGUAAAGGGUCCGCAGGUGGCAUUGUAAGUCUGCUGUUAAAGAGUUUGGCUCAACCAAAUAAAAGCAGUGGAAACUAC